GAAUAUUGGACAAUGGGCGCAAGCCUGAUCCAGCCAUACCGCGUGGGUGAAGAAGGCCUUCGGGUUGUAAAGCCCUUUUGGUGGGAAAGAAAAGCAGUCGGCUAAUACCCGGUUGUUCUGACGGUACCCAAAGCAUAAGCACCGGCUACCUUCGUGACCGCAGCCCCGGUAAUACGAAGGGUCCAAUCGUUACUCGGAAUUACUGUGCGUAAAGCGUGCGUAGGGUGUUGUUUAAGUCUGUUGUGAAAGCCCUGCGCUCAACCUGGGAAUGGCAGUGAAUACUGGGCGACUAGAGUGUGGUAGAGGGUAGUGGAAUUCCCUGUGUAGCAGUGAAAUGCGUAGAGAUCGGGAGGAACAUCCAUGGCGAAGGCAGCUACCUGGACCAACACUGACACUGAGGCACGAAAGCGUGGGGAGCAAACAG
rnacentral:rRNA from 1 species